rnacentral:lncRNA from 1 species
AAGGUAGCUCAGUCCCCCGAGGGGAUCAAUCAACAUAAAAAAGUCUAGUAGGACAGAAUCAUUAGCAUUGUCUCUAGAGAGAAUGCGACUGGAGAUUUUGAUUUCCCAGCUCUAAAGGUAGUUAGUUUGUUGACCCCAGGGGGAGAGUCCGACGUGAACGAAUCCGCUCUCUUUGCUGUGAACAAGAGGAAGCUCUGCAGAUGAAGCAGGCGACGGGUAAAUGCUUUUGUAGUUCAUACCAGGAUCCAGGAAAAGGCUUUGAACCUCGA